UACGUAGGGCGCAAGCGUUGUCCGGAAUUAUUGGGCGUAAAGAGCUCGUAGGCGGUUUGUCGCGUCUGCUGUGAAAACCUAAGGCUCAACCUUGGGCUUGCAGUGGGUACGGGCAGACUAGAGUGCGGUAGGGGGUGACUGGAAUUCCUGGUGUAGCGGUGGAAUGCGCAGAUAUCAGGAGGAACACCGAUGGCGAAGGCAGGUCACUGGGCCGCAACUGACGCUGAGGAGCGGAAAGCAUGGGGAGCGAACAGG
rnacentral:rRNA from 1 species